rnacentral:rRNA from 1 species
ACCAAGGCGACGAUCGGUAGCCGGACUGAGAGGUUGAACGGCCACAUUGGGACUGAGACACGGCCCAGACUCCUACGGGAGGCAGCAGUGGGGAAUAUUGCACAAUGGGGGAAACCCUGAUGCAGCGACGCCGCGUGGAGGAAGAAGGUCUUCGGAUUGUAAACUCCUGUUGUUGGGGAAGAUAAUGACGGUACCCAACAAGGAAGUGACGGCUAACUACGUGCCAGCAGCCGCGGUAAAACGUAGGUCACAAGCGUUGUCCGGAAUUACUGGGUGUAAAGGGAGCGCAGGCGGGAAGACAAGUUGGAAGUGAAAUCUAUGGGCUCAACCCAUAAACUGCUUUCAAAACUGUUUUUCUUGAGUAGUGCAGAGGUAGGCGGAAUUCCCGGUGUAGCGGUGGAAUGCGUAGAUAUCGGGAGGAACACCAGUGGCGAAGGCGGCCUACUGGGCACCAACUGACGCUGAGGCUCGAAAGUGUGGGUAGCAAACAGGAUUAGAUACCCUGGUAGUCCACACCGUAAACGAUGAUUACUAGGUGUUGGAGGAUUGACCCCUUCAGUGCCGCAGUUAACACAAUAAGUAAUCCACCUGGGGAGUACGACCGCAAGGUUGAAACUCAAAGGAAUUGACGGGGGCCCGCACAAGCAGUGGAGUAUGUGGUUUAAUUCGAGGCAACGCGAAGAACCUUACCAAGUCUUGACAUCCCUUGACAGGCAUAGAAAUAUGUUUUCUCUUCGGAGCAAGGAGACAGGUGGUGCAUGGUUGUCGUCAGCUCGUGUCGUGAGAUGUUGGGUUAAGUCCCGCAACGAGCGCAACCCUUAUGGUCAGUUACUACGCAAGAGGACUCUGGCCAGACUGCCGUUGACAAAACGGAGGAAGGUGGGGAUGACGUCAAAUCAUCAUGCCCUUUAUGACUUGGGCUACACACGUACUACAAUGGCGUUAAACAAAGAGAAGCAAGACCGCGAGGUGGAGCAAAACUCAGAAACAACGUCCCAGUUCGGACUGCAGGCUGCAACUCGCCUGCACGAAGUCGGAAUUGCUAGUAAUCGUGGAUCAGCAUGCCACGGUGAAUACGUUCCCGGGCCUUGUACACACCGCCCGUCACACCAUGAGAGCCGGGGGGACCCGAAGUCGGUAGUCUAACCGCAAGGAGGACGCCGCCGAAGGUAAAACUGGUGAUUGGGAUGAAGUCGAACAAGGUAGCCGUAGGAGAACCUGCGGCUG